rnacentral:rRNA from 1 species
UACGGGGGGAGCAAGCGUUGUUCGGAAUCACUGGGCGUAAAGGGCGUGUAGGCGGUUCGGUAAGUGGGAUGUGAAAUCCCUCGGCUCACCCGAGGACCUGCAUCCCGAUACUGCUGAGCUUGAGUACAGGAGAGGGGUGGGGGAAUUCCUGGUGUAGCGGUGAAAUGCGUAGAUAUCAUUUGGAACGCCAAAGGCCGAAAGCAGGCUGCUGGGAGUGAUCUGACACUGAGACGCGAAAAGCCAGG